GGCGGACGGGUGAGUAAUGCUUGGGAACAUGCCUUGAGGUGGGGGACAACAGUUGGAAACGACUGCUAAUACCGCAUAAUGUCUACAGACCAAAGGGGGCUUCGGCUCUCGCCUUUAGAUUGGCCCAAGUGGGAUUAGCUAGUUGGUGAGGUAAGGGCUCACCAAGGCGACGAUCCCUAGCUGGUUUGAGAGGAUGAUCAGCCACACUGGAACUGAGACACGGUCCAGACUCCUACGGGAGGCAGCAGUGGGGAAUAUUGCACAAUGGGGGAAACCCUGAUGCAGCCAUGCCGCGUGUGUGAAGAAGGCCUUCGGGUUGUAAAGCACUUUCAGUAAGGAGGAAAGGUUAGUAGUUAAUACCUGCUAGCUGUGACGUUACUUACAGAAGAAGCACCGGCUAACUCCGUGCCAGCAGCCGCGGUAAUACGGAGGGUGCGAGCGUUAAUCGGAAUUACUGGGCGUAAAGCGUAC
rnacentral:rRNA from 1 species